AUUGAACGCUGGCGGCAGGCCUAACACAUGCAAGUCGAGCGAGCGGCGGACGGGUGAGUAAUGUAUGGGAAUCUGCCUGAUGGAGGGGGAUAACUACUGGAAACGGUGGCUAAUACCGAAUACUAUCGGAUGACCCCAGAUGGGAUUAGCUGGUUGGUGGGGUAACGGCUCACAAAGGUGACGAUCCCUAGCUGGUCUGAGAGGAUGACCAGGCACACUGGAACUGAGAAACGGCCCAGACUCCUACGGGAGGCAGCAGUGGGGAAUAUUGAACAAUGGGCGAAAGCCUGAUGCAGCCAUGCCGCGGGUAUGAAGAAGGCCGUAGGGUUGUAAAGUACUUUCAGUCGGGAGGCGUUACCGCCAGAAGAAGCACCGGCUAACUCCGUGCCAGCAGCCGCGGUAAUUC
rnacentral:rRNA from 1 species